UUGUGUCUAGGAUCAUAUCAUGAGGUGACAUGAGUCCUAGUUGUGAAAUUACUUGAUGUACUUGUGGUUGUAAGUGAUUAAUGGUGAUGUUUGUAUUUGAUGGAUUGUUGUGUCAUGUCAUGAUUAACUAUGUGAAUUGAUAAACUCAUGAAAGUGGUGGAAUUGUGAAUGAUGAUUAUUGAUGAUGAUGUGUUCGUUAAAUAUAUGUCGGUGAGACUUGGAUUGUGGUGAUAAUGUAUGUAUGAAAUUUAUCUAUUUGAUUCAUUACACGAUAUUUGAUUAUGUUAUUCCUGCUUAUCUGUGUUAUUGAUUAUGUUGAUGUAAUACUCCCCCCAGUGGUUUUUAAUCGCCUACUUGCCUGUAUGGGUGAGUAGACGUUGUGCAGGAGUAGUAGCUUGGUGAGUUUCUGAUGUUGCUGGAUAGUGGGAGCUUUCUCCACUAUCGGGUCUUAGAGUAGAGUCGGCUCUGAUCUAGGGAUUUUGUAUGUUAGCUCUAGAUCUUGUUGGAUUAUUUUAUAUUUUGAGAUUUUGUCCAUGUGUCGGACUUGGAGAGUUUUAUGCUUAUGCAUUUUUGAGAUCACGUGACAUGUAUGCUUUGAUGUAUAAGAAUUUUGUAUCCGCUGCGACUGAUGAGGUUUUAUAUACAUGCAUG
rnacentral:lncRNA from 1 species